AGAGCAAGGCCGCCGCCAGCUCUCCCAGGAACCGUCGCGAGGCGUCCCCUCGGCGGCCGCCUCAGUUUCCCUGGCCGUAAAACGCGGGCGAUGGCGCUCGAUGCCCCGGGAGACGCCGGGGUCCGCGGGCCCUUCCGGCACCGGGUCCUCCUUCAGGUUCGGGCACCCGGCUGCCUCCACGCGGGGCGAGCGCGGCGAUGGGAUCGGUCCGUGCUGCGCUCAGCCCCGCUUUCGCUAUCCCUCUGCUCCAGGGGCAGCAAAAUCAGCAGAUGAGCCCCCAGCGCGCCUGCGGCCCACACACUGCGGCCGUAACAGUUAAACAGACGGGGAACAUUCAUGUGCGUAGAGCUCUUCACGGGGCGAUACAGAAAUGUGUCGUUCUAAAGCGUUAACGACCUGCAAUUUGCAUAUCCUCCAACACAUGGAUUUUACUGAUUCAAUUAUGGAUGUGUGCAAAGAAUCUGCUGCUCGCUAUAUGGGAACACUUUCAGUUUCCCAAGUUAAAACAUGAAAUUGCACAUCAUCAUUUGGAUCCCCAAAGAGGAAAAGAAAAAUUCACAACCUGCCAGUGAAAUACUCAGGCCACUUGGAUGAAGACCGAGGUCCUCCAUAGAAUCCAGGUGUUAUUUACUAACUAAUCAGAAAUUAAUAUCAAAAUAGGACUUAAAAAUAACAAGGCUGUGUUAUUACAGCAGUCUUUCCAGUUGUGUACGCUUUACUAAUCUAAAUUGGGUAACAGAACUGGAGAAAAGGAAGACUACACAGACUUAUCAUAAGCUGUUAGUGAACGUGAUAGAAAUGCGUAAUUUGUUAAAGCGAAUUACAGCUCUGAUUUGUCAAAUGAGGAGGUGAAUUAUCCUAGGAUUUGCUAUGCUGUUGUGGCGUUAGAAGAUUGGAUCUUUAGCAGCAAAGGUAACCUCAACAAUAUUUUCUGCUUAAGAAAGUGCCUUGGUUAAGGUAGACCGUGAUAUCGUCUUUGACUAAGCUCUCUGGGCUAUUGAUUCUGUCAUAUUCCAAAGGCAGUAUUGGUUUGAAGCCGAAUCUCACGGUCAAUGUCAACAUGCAAUCCACAAAGACCCUGGCGCCCUUCCACGGUAUGCACUAACCAAAACUUUCUCACUGUGAAAUCCUUUUUUUAAAAACAAGAAAACAAAAAACAAAAACCAAAAAACCUUACUGUGAAUCCUUUCCCAAGGAAUGGUCCCACCUUCACCUCGGAAAGAGGCGUGGCUUGCUCUGUAAGCAGGUCCACCCUGAGGAGACCGCUGGUGCAAGAGCCCUGCUUGCAGAACACACAGGGGGUUUUCCCACAUUCUUACUGGAGUCAGAUUCGGCAAAGCAUUUCAAGCAACUGCUGGACACUUCAAAUACCACUCCCUGUUAACAACGCCCUGAGUAUCUCACUGUCUCCAGGAUCUGGUUUAAAGGGAAACACAGAAAUGGCCAACAGCUCCCUCCCCAGGCAGGACUGCGAUUUCACAGACAACCUAUAGGCAUCCCCAGUCUGGUGAAUAAACAGGAGAGUGAGAGGAAAACAGCAAUCAUUCAACUCCAGUAGAUGUAAAGCCUCCAGAAGAAUGUGUCCCGGGAAGGUCAGAAAUGUCAUUUUUUUCCUCCAGCACAUUUCAUCUGCCACAUUCCGCCGUCCGAUGUUUGAGGAAGGAGCCCCGCCUUUCCUUCAGGGGUUCUUGUCGCCAAGUUUGAUGGUGACAGUUUUCACUUCUGUGUAUUCGGCCAAAGCGUAUUCACCUCUGUGAUCACAGAAAAGAGGAAAAUUCAAAAUGGGUACAUCCCUUAGCCAUUGUGUAGAAACUGUUCUGAGGCUUCAUCAUUCCAUCAGGCCGUUGGAGGCUUAUGCAAAAGGUUAAAAUGUGACGACCUCAUGGAAUAAUAGCCAGGACUAUAACAGCACUAGUAAGUGUCAGUAGCUGCAUAUGUGACUUAAAUGUAAAUAUCAAGGUCUUCUUCUGUGUGAUGCUUUUGAAAUGGCCAGGACUAAGGGUUUCCCUUUAGAGAAUGAAGGGGAUUUUAAAAAAAGUAAAGAGGUGAAUUCCCUGGGGUGGCAAUAGAGAGCAAAACGAGAGAGCCUGGUGGACGGUGGGGUGUCUGUGAACGAGGGAGGGGCAGAAAUUACACUGGGUUGAUAACUUUUAGAUGGCAAUUGGGAGCUGCUUGAAGAGGAGACAGAAGAGGCAGAGGCCCAAAGCUAUUGGCUGGGGAUGUGGCCAGAGGACCAGUGGGAAGAACACCAAGGGCCUGAAGCUGGCCUCAGAGUGCACAGCUGGGGACCAGCUGUCAGGCAGUGAGGCCAGCCUAGGGGGCAUGAGAGAAGCAGACGUUAGCACAGAGUGGACAUGGGGAGGCCACAGCUUUUGGGUUCACAUCCUUGGUAUAGUUCCUUUCUUUAAAUCUUGCAGGGCUCAGGUGAUCCUUCCCUGGCACCAUGGGCCGUCUUCAGGGUAGCUUCCCUUCCAAGACCCAAGAGGCAGCUUUGGAGAGAUUUAAAUCCUUCUAAGCGCUUGAUCUGCUGUCAGGUGAAGAAAAAUGUGUGCUUGUUUAGGAAGAGAUGAAGGUAGAGGUGGCCACUGGAGUCUCUGUAGUUAAAAAGACCUGUGACAGAAUCCCAUCUCCUCCCUUAGAUCAAUGGUUCUCAAAGUGUGGUCCCCAGACCAGCAGCAUCAGCCUCACCUCUGAACUUGCUAGAAAUGUAGAUUCUCAGGCCUCCCCCAGCCCUACUAUCGUAGGCAGAAUAAGGAUCUCCCCAGGUAUCCAAAAUUGGAUCCCCCAAACCUGUGAAUAUGUUGGGCUACAGAGUGAAGAAUUAAUGUUGCAGAUGGAAUUCAAGUUACUAAUCAAUUGACUUUAAAAGAGGGAGACUCUCCUGGAUCAUCCAGGCAGACCCAGUGUAAUCACAAGGGUCCCCAAAACUGGCAGAAGAAGAGAGGCAGAGCAAAAUGAGAUUAUAGAAACAGGUUCAGAGAGCAGCAGUGCUGGCUUUGAAGAUGGAGGAUGGGGCCACCAGCCUAGGAAUGCGAGCAGCCUCUAGAGGAUGGAAAAGGCAAGGAAGUAGAUUCUCUCCUGAGAACCUCCAAAAAGGAAUGAAGCCCUUGAUUUUAGCUCAGGGAGACCUGUGUCAGAUUUUUAUCCUACAGAACUAUAAGAUAAUAGAUUUAUGUUAUUUAAGCCACUGAUGUUAUGGUAACUUCUUGCAGGAGCAAUAAAAGACUAAUAAACUUACUGAAUCAGAAA
rnacentral:lncRNA from 1 species